rnacentral:rRNA from 1 species
GGUGGAGCAUGUGGUUUAAUUCGAUGCAACGCGAAGAACCUUACCAGGUCUUGACAUGUCACUUUUUUCUUGAAAAAGAAAGUUCCCGAGUGAACACAGGUGGUGCAUGGCUGUCGUCAGCUCGUGUGGUGACAUGUUGGAUUAAUUUCCCGAACGAGCGAAACCCUGCUAUAUUGUAAUAACUUUAUGUAAUUCAAUAUAGACCGCCAGUGAUAGACUGGAGGCAGGAUAGGAUGACGUCAAGUCCUCAUGACCCUUAUGAACUGGGCUACACACGUGUUACAAUGGUGUAAACAAAACGUAGCAAUGAUGAAAAUCGGAGCCAAUCGCUAAAUUACACCUCAGUACGGAUUGGUGUCUGCAACUCGACUCCAUGAAGCCGGAAUCACUAGUAAUCGUGGAUCAGCAUGCCACGGUGAAUACGUUCCCGGGCCUUG